UACGGAGGGUGCAAGCGUUAUCCGGAUUUACUGGGUUUAAAGGGUGUGUAGGCGGACUUUUAAGUCAGCGGUGAAAUCUCCGGGCUCAACCCGGAAACUGCCAUUGAUACUAUUGGUCUUGAAUAUUGUGGAGGUGGGCGGAACGGGUCAUGUAGCGGUGAAAUGCUUAGAGAUGACCCGGAACACCGAUUGUGAAGGCAGCCCACUACGCAAUGAUUGACGCUGAGGCACGAAAGCGUGGGGAUCAAACAGG
rnacentral:rRNA from 1 species